GACGUAGGGGACGAGCGUUGUCCGGAUUCAUUGGGCGUAAAGCGCGUGUAGGCGGCCAGAUAAGUCCGCUGUGAAAUCUCGAGGCUCAACUUCGAGCUGUCGGUGGAAACUGUCUGGCUAGAGUCCGGAAGAGGAGAAUGGAAUUCCUGGUGUAGCGGUGAAAUGCGCAGAUAUCAGGAAGAACACCCGUGGCGAAGGCGGUUCUCUGGGACGGUACUGACGCUGAGACGCGAAAGCGUGGGGAGCGAACAGG
rnacentral:rRNA from 1 species